rnacentral:lncRNA from 1 species
AUUAUUAUAUUCAAGAUGUGGGGGUUAAAUACUUAAUAAACCUUUACUACAAAUCUAGUGACCCAACUCUCCUGCAGUCAUCAUUCCCUGCAUUCACACAUCCGAUACAUUAAUGCUCGUUUUAUCAAGAUCAGACGAUUCAAAUUUAAAAUAAAAUGGCCAUCAAUAUCCGAUCAAGAUAAGAGGACCACCAAUGUCCUCGGACGCGUGAAUGCCGGGUCUUCCGACUCCGGAGUCCAAAUCUAGCACUUAUCGUUUGAGAAUCCCACUAAAUUAUUAGCAAGAUUAAAAGUAACACGAGUCCCUUGUUGUUGAACAUUUCCAAUAAUAGACAAAGAAGAACUCGUCGGAGCAAAAGCAAAGCAAAACUUUCCGGCAGAAUCCACCGCAAUCAAGUAAUUCUUCGCCGGCAAACUCCAAACCUUAUUCUCACCAAAAUGAAAAGCCACAGUUGGAACCCUAACACUUUGUAAAUUAGACAAAUCAUAACAAGUAUCAAACAAAGCAAAAUUAUCAGCAGAACGUAAAUUCUGAGUCAUUCUUUUAAACUCGUCGCGAACCGAGUUAUAAAGUUGACUCUGUAACCGCGUUAUCGCGGUUCCAGAGUCAACAAUAAUCCCACCACUUCCAGAACCAUCUCCCGCCGCCGCCGGAACAGAAACCAUCUGCCCACCAACACUAAUACCAGUGAGCUGAACAUAAUAAAACGUAUUAACUCUUUGAUUCUUUAACAUCGGAGCAAGUACUGAAUCAGCGGGUUGAACCGAGUUAAACUCAAGAGUUGACGAUUUUCCCGAGUCACGGUCAACUAAACAGUAAGAAAACGAUGAAGCUUUGAUCUGCGAAAUUAAAGAUUGCGACCCACCACCAAGUCCGAGUAAACCAGCUGCACCAACGAAUAAACCUUCGUUAUCGUGGCCACAACCGAUAGCAACACGGUUCACUGACCCGGAGUUUCCAAAAGAGACUGUUUCAGUGCUAUAUUCUCCAACAGUGAAUGAGCCAUCACCGUAAGAAACUUGGUAUUGACAUUUACCAUCACGACAACCAGAAAGUUCGAGUGAUUGACAUUGUUCUGCUUCACAGGUCAUGGGUUGAUAGGUUGAUGAUGAAGUUGGGUCGUAUAUUGGGUCAGUUUGUUGGUAACAUUCUGUGCAUGGUUUGCAUUGGAUCCAGUUAACGUCACUACCUGUGUCAAGAACCAUGUAGUAGGGUUUUGGUGGUUGACCUAUGCCUAGUCUGGAGAAAUACUCACCGGAGCCGGAGCCAGAACCGGAGGAAACUGGUGUGGAGAGAUCUUCUUGUUGAAGCUCGGUUUGAACCGGGUGGAGAUCGGUUUUCUUGAGGUUGUUUAGAGAAAGUUCGAGUUUUGUAGUUAGUGAGUCAACUCGGGCUGAGUCACGAGUGAGUCUAGCUUGCAUAAGUUUUGUAUAGUCUUUAUGGUUUUCAUUGAGAAGAUUCUCUCUUGGAUGUAUGAGAAUUGAGAAAGAUGAAGAGUUUGAAAAAACGGGUUUUUGGUUUAGGGUUUCUUCAACAAGAUUAAUGUUAUUAGGGUUAAAGUUAAGGACUUGUUUGGUUUGGUGAAUUGAGGAAGAGAUAUCAAGAAGGGAGGUGUGUGAAGUAAUGAUGCGAGAUGAGGAAGUUGGAAAUGGAAGAAGAGAGAUUGUUGUAAUGAGAAGUGAUAAGUUGAAGUAUAGAAGUGCUUUUUUGGAAGCCAUUUUUUUGGUUAUGAGUGAGGGAGUGUGGAGUUGAGUGCUUGAUUUAUUGGUUUGAAAAAUAGAGAGAGAAAGUGAUUGGAUCUGUUGAGUUUGUUGGUUGGUAGAUGAAGGUGUUAAAGUGAGGAAAAAGGAGUUUGGUAAAUAGUGGUAAUGUAGCUAAUUUUGGAAUGGUAAAAAGUAGAGGACUAGUUUAAUGCUUUGUGAAAAAAUAGAAGAUUAAUUGAUUGGUAAUUUUGUUUUUAUCUGCAGAGGGAUUUAAUAGUUUUGAACAGACACGUCGAUGAAACAUAAAUGGAUUUUAUAGUUUUGAAAAUUAAUUUUUGCUUUGGUUGUUUAGGUCGAGAAACUAUAUAAUAU